AUUGAAAGCUGGAGGCAGGCCGAACACAUGCAAGCAGAGCGAGCGGCGGACGGGUGAGUAAUGUAUGGGGACUGCCCGAUAGAGGGGGAGAACUACUGGAAACGGUGACUAAUACCGCAUACUGUAGGAUAACCCAUAUGGGAGUAGCUAGUAGGUAAGGUAAUGGCUUACCUAGGCGACGAUCCCUAGCUGGUCUGAGAGGAUGAUCAGCCACACUGGGACUGCGACCCGGCCCAGACUCCUACGGGGGCAGCAGUGGGGAAUAUUGCACAAUGGGCGCAAGCCUGAUGCAGCCAGGCCGCGUAUCUGAAGAAGUCCCUAGGGUUGUAAAGUACUUUCAGUCGGGAGGCGUUACCAUCAGAAGAAGCACCGGCUAACUCCGUGCCAGCCGCCGCGGUAAUAC
rnacentral:rRNA from 1 species